rnacentral:misc_RNA from 1 species
GUUCUAUUAAAGAAAAUGGAAAUAAGGCAAUGGCAGAUAUCUAAACUACAACCAUACAAAUAAGCAUUCCCUAACACAUCCUCACAUGAGGACACCGCCAAAGGCCCAAAACAAAUGGAACAUAGCUAACAAUUAGAAGAAAGCUACAUGACCAUUCAAUCUACAGUGCUCCAACAUUGCCAGCGAAUCGGUCAUUUGUUAGAUGUUGCUGCAAGUUGGGCACAAAACUUGUUAACUAGCUUGUCAUGAAGAGGCAAGUUUUCAUUCAUUGCAGGAACACUUGAAAACUCUGGCACCCAUUAUGAUAAAAAUGGAAAUCCUACUUUCCCAUCACUUUAAAGCCAAGUAUUUCAGGUUGGCAAGCUUACCUAAUGCAAUAUCAAGAAAUCUAAUAAUCUCUUUCCUUUGAGCUCCUCUUCUGAAAAUUUCAGUUCUCAAUGGCCUGAACUUCAUCUUCUUUUCGCUCCUUUCCUUCCUUGGUUAAUAUUUCCUACAGUGUUGACACGACUGUAACAAGAACGCCCAUAUUAUGCAGCAGCCAACAAAAAUAGAGUAGGUUUAGGGGCUGGUGCGCAAGAUGUGCUUCACAUCUAUUGA